rnacentral:misc_RNA from 1 species
CUAGAGUCUGUAUGGUUGAUGGAACUUGUGUAGAUAGAAGGAUGCAAAAAGAAAAGACUCGUGUCCAUUACAGGCCAUGAAGAGCUGAACAGAGGUUGACAGACAGGGGUCAAGGACAUCCCACCAGUUCACAACGUUCCAGUGGAUCGAGACUGGGCCUGGGUCAUUUUGUUUAGAUGAGUAAUUGCCCCCAAGAGUUCGUAUGGUUAAUUAGGAAACAUACGUAAAUAAAAGUAUGCAAAACAAAGAAAAUCGUGUUCAUGGCGACCAUGAAGAACUGGACAGGUGUAGAGGGUCAGGGGUCAAGGACAGCCCACCAGUUUACGAUGUUCCAGUGGACCGAGACUGGGCCUGGGUCAUUUUGUUCAGUACUACCACCAUUGGCAUUUUUGUGAUUGGAGGGAUUAAAUCCUUCGGGAUCCUUCUGAUGGAGUUUGGUCAAGUUUACCAGAUUUCCAAGAGUCAGCUGACCCUUGUUCAAUCAAUCACUGGAUUCUCCUUUUAUUUGCUAAGUCCAUUUUCCAUUUGGUUAUGUGAUCGUUAUACUCACCAAAAAGUUAUUUUUGUUGGAGGUCUGUUUUCAAGCACAGGAUUAAUUCUCAGUUCUUUUGCACCUUCCAUAGAAGUAAUGUAUAUUACUUAUGGGAUACUUACAGGUUUUGGCUUUGGACUCAGCUAUCCACCAAGUGUUGUCAUUAGUACACGCCACUUUAACAAAAGAAGAGGAAUGGCAAACGGAAUUAACAUGGCAGGGUCUGCAAUGGGGAGCAUAUGUGUGCCGAUUCUGAUGCAGGUUCUGAUUGAUAGCUAUGGUUUAAAGGGUUGUAUGCUGAUUUUAGGAUCAAUCAUGGGACAUAUAUGUCCAUGUGCUUUAUUGCUUAGACCAGCACAUAAGUACCCACUAGUACAGAAAGAGACUGAGCAACUGCUUUCAGAUGAAAACUUUGAGAAAAAUCUGGAUAAUCAUCACGGCUCUCAUGAAAUGACAGAACAAGGAUUACCAGAAGAUAAAGAUUCAAACACAAAGGAUGCUCAAAGGGGAGAUCAUGAAGUUAAGUUACAAUUGUUAAGGGAUUCAGAGUGGACUCAAAGACAUUACUGGAUCUUGGUCAGCCUCCAUGAGGGUGGCUGGUUCUUUUGCCAUUAUAGCAGUCUGUCUUCUGGUGAUAGAGAACGUCAUAUCGAGGGACCAGAGGAGGAAAGGAUAUAUCGAAAAAGAAGCCCAGCGUGAGGAAAAAGAAGUUUAAUGUGGUGGCAAAAGAAGUCUAGUUUGGUGAAAAGGAAGGCUAAUAUAUGAUGAAACGUCUCUUGAAUUCUUGGUUUUAGAAGAUGCCAUGAAAUAGACUUAGUCAUUCAUACAUAUGAAGUGUUUGUUUUGGGUCAGACAUUUAAUUACAAUAUUACUUGCCUAAAUUUGAUUUUUUAUUAAUCACAAUUUACAUAUUUUUGUUCUUGUUGUUUUCAGUUACUUUGAAGUUUUAAAUUAAAAUGUCCUUUCAAAAUUUUUGAUAUAUGAGCAGCAUUUAGUAAGGUGAUCUUAGUCUUAUUGUUCAAUAAUCAAACUUCACAUGGUAGUAUCUAUUUAAGGGGGAUGUGAGGCCAUCUUGUACAUUUGAGGAUACGAAUGUAAAGAUAUCUUGAACUGGCCUUUUCUACCCGAAACUGACCAAAACUGUUGCCAAAAGAUAUAAAAGCAAUAAAUUUGAGAUUCUAC